UGGGGAAUUUUGGACAAUGGGCGAAAGCCUGAUCCAGCAAUGCCGCGUGUGUGAAGAAGGCCUUCGGGUUGUAAAGCACUUUUGUCCGGAAAGAAAUCCUUGGCUCUAAUACAGUCGGGGGAUGACGGUACCGGAAGAAUAAGCACCGGCUAACUACGUGCCAGCAGCCGCGGUAAUACGUAGGGUGCAAGCGUUAAUCGGAAUUACUGGGCGUAAAGCGUGCGCAGGCGGUUUGCUAAGACCGAUGUGAAAUCCCCGGGCUCAACCUGGGAACUGCAUUGGUGACUGGCAGGCUAGAGUAUGGCAGAGGGGGGUAGAAUUCCACGUGUAGCAGUGAAAUGCGUAGAGAUGUGGAGGGAUACCGAUGGCGAAGGCAGCCCCCUGGGCCAAUACUGACGCUCAUGCACGAAAGCGUGGGGGAGCAAACAGGAUUAGAUACCCUGGUAGUCCACGCCCUAAACGAUGUCAACUAGUUGUUGGGGAUUCAUUUCCUUAGUAACGUAGCUAACGCGUGAAGUUGACCGCCUGGGGAGUACGGUCGCAAGAUUAAAACUC
rnacentral:rRNA from 1 species